rnacentral:tRNA from 1 species
GGGGAUGUAGCUCAGUUGGUAGAGUGCUUGCCUCACAUGCAGGAGGCCCUGGGUUCAAUGCCUAGCACCACAA